rnacentral:rRNA from 2 species
GGGAGCGAAGCAAUUGGAAGUGGUUCCAAGAAAAGCCUCUAAGCUUCAGUCUAACGAUGACCGUACCGCAAACCGACACAGGUGGGCGAGAUGAGUAUUCUAAGGCGCUUGAGAGAACUCGGGAGAAGGAACUCGGCAAAUUGGUACCGUAACUUCGGGAUAAGGUACGCCCUUGUAGCUUGACUGGCCUGCGCCAGGAGGGUGAAGGGGUUGCAAUAAACUGGUGGCUGCGACUGUUUAAUAAAAACACAGCACUCUGCAAACACGAAAGUGGACGUAUAGGGUGUGACGCCUGCCCGGUGCCGGAAGAUUAAAUGAUGGGGUGCAAGCUCUUGAUUGAAGUCCCGGUAAACGGCGGCCGUAACUAUAACGGUCCUAAGGUAGCGAAAUUCCUUGUCGGGUAAGUUCCGACCUGCACGAAUGGCGUAACGAUGGCCACACUGUCUCCUCCCGAGACUCAGCGAAGUUGAAGUGUUUGUGAUGAUGCAAUCUACCCGCGGCUAGACGGAAAGACCCCAUGAACCUUUACUGUAGCUUUGCAUUGGACUUUGAACCGAUCUGUGUAGGAUAGGUGGGAGGCUAUGAAACCGGAACGCUAGUUUCGGUGGAGCCGUCCUUGAAAUACCACCCUGGUUUGUUUGAGGUUCUAACCUUGGCCCGUGAUCCGGGUCGGGGACAGUGCAUGGUAGGCAGUUUGACUGGGGCGGUCUCCUCCCAAAGCGUAACGGAGGAGUACGAAGGUACGCUAGGUACGGUCGGAAAUCGUGCUGAUAGUGCAAUGGCAUAAGCGUGCUUAACUGCGAGACCGACAAGUCGAGCAGGUGCGAAAGCAGGUCAUAGUGAUCCGGUGGUUCUGUAUGGAAGGGCCAUCGCUCAACGGAUAAAAGGUACUCUGGGGAUAACAGGCUGAUACCGCCCAAGAGUUCAUAUCGACGGCGGUGUUUGGCACCUCGAUGUCGGCUCAUCUCAUCCUGGGGCUGUAGCCGGUCCCAAGGGUAUGGCUGUUCGCCAUUUAAAGAGGUACGUGAGCUGGGUUUAAAACGUCGUGAGACAGUUUGGUCCCUAUCUGCCGUGGGCGUUGGAUAUUUGAAGGGGGCUGCUCCUAGUACGAGAGGACCGGAGUGGACGAACCUCUGGUGUACCGGUUGUCACGCCAGUGGCAUCGCCGGGUAGCUAUGUUCGGAAGAGAUAACCGCUGAAAGCAUCUAAGCGGGAAACUCGCCUUAAGAUGAGAUAUCCCUGGGGACUAGAUCCCCUUGAAGGGUCGUUCGAGACCAGGACGUUGAUAGGUCAGGUGUGUAAGCGCAGUAAUGCGUUCAGCUAACUGAUACUAAUUGCCCGUAAGGCUUGAUCCU